UUAUAUGGCAAAGAACAUUGGUACAACAAGGGAUUCAAGCAUGAAUAUAUGCAACAGUAGAGCAACAGUAGAUAGAGAGUAGAAAAAGAAUAUACCUAUCGGAGCCUCCCUGAUGGGGCUUCUAACAAAAAUGGUUAUUUGGAGCAUAUUUUUUACCAACAAAAAUGCAACAAAAUGGGCUUGUAGAAAGGUUGCAAAUAUGGGUUGCACUAGCACUUUGCUGAAUUUUUUUUUUCAUGUUGAAAAUAAAUCUUGUACACACUUGUAGCUUCUUGUAACCUUGUGAUAAACUCUAAUAAAUUGUAACAUUGAAUAAAUAUGCAU